rnacentral:lncRNA from 1 species
CUGAUAUCAGGCCCCGAGUGUUUAAGGAGAUGUCUUUGUUCUGUUACAGCAGGCCCUCGAGGUGGUUUGUCAUCCCCUUUUCUGGAGGUCUUUGUCUGGGACUGUUUCUCAGGUGGGCAUUGCUGCCCUCAGUAGAAGAUGGGAGAGUGCUGCAUCUGAGAUGCUUCAUGCAUGAGAGAGGCAGAUGUGCAGCCUCUUCUUCUCUUCCCAUUUCUGAGGAGCUCAACACUGCAGGAUCAGAGAAUCAUGGAAUGGUUUAG